CUAGGCAAGAUCUCCGCCCCCCUCAUCUACGUCCUCCCGCCCCACCCCGAGGAGAUGACCCAACCCCUGGUGACCAUCACCUGCUUGGUCCGCUCUUUCCAACCGGAGAACGUCCAAGUCCAGUGGUUGAAGAACCACCAGAACGUCCCUCAGGAGGACUACGUCACCACCCCGCCCCUCAAGGACGGGCCGAAGGACACCACCUUCUUCGUCUACAGCAAGAUGAUGGUCCCCAAGAGCAGCUGGGCCUCUGGAGACACCUACACCUGCAUGGUGGUCCACGAAGGGUUGCCCAUGAAGUUCACCCAACGGCAGGCGCAGAAAAGCCCCG